rnacentral:tRNA from 1 species
AGUUAUUUACUUAUAAAAGGUAUUAUGUUUUGAAAACAUAUAUNAAGGGUUGAAUUCCUCUAAUAACUU